rnacentral:rRNA from 1 species
UACGGAGGGUGCAAGCGUUAUCCGGAUUCACUGGGUUUAAAGGGUGCGUAGGCGGGCAGGUAAGUCCGUGGUGAAAUCUCUGAGCUUAACUCAGAAACUGCCAUGGAUACUAUUUGUCUUGAAUGUUGUGGAGGUAAGCGGAAUAUGUCAUGUAGCGGUGAAAUGCUUAGAUAUGACAUAGAACACCAAUUGCGAAGGCAGCUCGCUACACAUAUAUUGACUCUGAGGCACGAAAGCGUGGGGAUCAAACAGG